rnacentral:rRNA from 1 species
UACGUACGAGGCGAGCGUUAUCCGGAUUUACUGGGCGUAAAGCGCGUUCAGGCGGUUUGGCAAGUCGGGCAUGAAAUCCUUCAGCUCAACCGGGGGAGGUCGUCCGAUACUGCUGAACUGGAGGGCAGUAGAGGGUGGUGGAAUUCCGGGUGUAGUGGUGAAAUGCGUAGAGAUCCGGAGGAACACCAGUGGCGAAAGCGGCCACCUGGACUGCACCUGACGCUGAAACGCGAAAGCUAGGGGAGCGAACGGG